rnacentral:rRNA from 1 species
UACGUAGGGUGCAAGCGUUGUCCGGAAUUAUUGGGCGUAAAGAGCUCGUAGGCGGUUUGUCGCGUCUGCUGUGAAAACUCGGGGCUUAACUCCGGGCCUGCAGUGGGUACGGGCAGACUAGAGUGCGGUAGGGGAGACUGGAAUUCCUGGUGUAGCGGUGAAAUGCGCAGAUAUCAGGAGGAACACCGGUGGCGAAGGCGGGUCUCUGGGCCGUUCCUGACGCUGAGGCACGAAGGCCAGGGGAGCAAACGGG